rnacentral:lncRNA from 1 species
GUACCGGCCGCCAACGCUGCUCUGGCGCCGCCCAAGGUCAACUCGUCGCCCUACGGCAAACCGCUCGAAUCGUCGAAGAUCAUCUCCGCGAGUCGCGAGGUUGUUUCUGGGGUGUCCAACGCGUCUCCCGCCUCCACGAUCGGCGCGAUGGGCAAGGGUGGCUCUCAGCUCUCCGCGUGGGCGACGAGCUCUCCGCGCCGCGUUUACAUGAGCCGAGCGCCGCUUCCGGCUCCGUCUCGCAUAUCGCUCAGACCCAGGGGAAGCCCCGUUCGUCGCGAGGAGUGGAUGCUCCAACC